rnacentral:sRNA from 1 species
GCUGGGUGUGGGGGCGCACACCUGUAAUCCCAGCUACUUGGGAGGCUGGGGCAGGUGAAUGGCUCGAACCUGGGAGGUGGAGGUUGCAGUGAGCCGAGAUUGCACCACUGCACUCCAGCCUGGGUGAAAGAGCAAGACUCUGUCUCUA